rnacentral:rRNA from 1 species
ACGGAGGAUGCAAGCGUUAUCCGGAAUUAUUGGGCGUAAAGCGUCCGCAGGUGGCCAUUCAAGUCUGUUGUCAAAGAGCGAGGCUCAACCUUGUAAAGGCAAUGGAAACUGAAUAGCUAGAGUGCGGUAGGGGUAGAGGGAAUUCCCGGUGUAGCGGUGAAAUGCGUAGAUAUCGGGAAGAACACCAGUGGCGAAAGCGCUCUACUGGGCCUGCACUGACACUGAGGGACGAAAGCUAGGGGAGCGAAAGGGAUUAGAUACCCCUGUAGUCCUAGCCGUAAACGAUGGACACUAGGUGUUGCGCGUAUCGACCCGUGCAGUGCCGUAGCUAACGCGUUAAGUGUCCCGCCUGGGGAGUACGCUCGCAAGAGUG